GCGUCGGUGGUUCAGUGGUAGAAUACUCGCCUGCCACGCGGGUGACCCGGGUUCAAUUCACGGCCGACGCA
rnacentral:tRNA from 1 species